GACGAACGCUGGCGGCGUGCCUAAUACAUGCAAGUCGAGCGAAGUUUUUCUGGUGCUUGCACUAGAAAAACUUAGCGGCGAACGGGUGAGUAACACGUAAAGAACCUGCCUCAUAGACUGGGACAACUAUUGGAAACGAUAGCUAAUACCGGAUAACAGUAUUUCUCGCAUGAGAGAUAUUUAAAAGUUGGUUAUGCUAACACUAUGAGAUGGCUUUGCGGUGCAUUAGCUAGUUGGUGGGGUAAAGGCCCACCAAGGCGACGAUGCAUAGCCGACCUGAGAGGGUGAUCGGCCACACUGGGACUGAGACACGGCCCAGACUCCUACGGGAGGCAGCAGUAGGGAAUCUUCCGCAAUGGGCGAAAGCCUGACGGAGCAACGCCGCGUGGGUGAAGAAGGAUUUCGGUUCGUAAAGCUCUGUUGUUAGGGAAGAAUGGAUAUGUAGUAACUAUACAUGUAAGAGACGGUACCUAACCAGAAAGCCACGGCUAACUACGUG
rnacentral:rRNA from 1 species